GGAGGAAAAGAAACUAACAAGGAUUCCCCUAGUAACGGCGAGUGAAGUGGGAAAAGCUCAACUUUGAAAUCUGGUACUUUCAGUAUCCGAAUUGUAGUCUCAAGAAGUGUUUUCUGUGCCGGUCCAUGUAUGAGUCUGUUGGAACACAGCGUCAUAGAGGGUGACAACCCCGUUCAUGACAUGGAUCCCGGUGCUUUGUGAUACACUCUCGAAGAGUCGAGUUGUUUGGGAAUGCAGCUCAAAUUGGGUGGUAAAUUCCAUCUAAAGCUAAAUAUUGGCGAGAGACCGAUAGCAAACAAGUACCGUGAGGGAAAGAUGAAAAGCACUUUGGAAAGAGAGUUAACAGUACGUGAAAUUGUUGAAAGGGAAACGAUUGAAGUCAGACGUGCGUGAUGCGGUUCAGCUUUAGUUCGCUAGAGUGUACUCCGUAUCUUUGCAGGCCAACAUCGUGUUUUGUUAGUCGGAUAAAGGUUUGAGAAAUGUGGCACCUUCGGGUGUGUUAUAGUCUCAGACUGAAUACGAUUGAUGGGACCGAGGAACGCAGCGCGCCGCAAGGCAAAGGUUCCGACCUUUUCGCGCUUAGGAUGUUGGUGAAAUGGCUUUAAACGACCCGUCU
rnacentral:rRNA from 1 species